rnacentral:misc_RNA from 1 species
UUUCCGUUGGUGAACCUGCGGAGGGAUCAUCACUGCGUUGUCCACCUUUGCCCCCCUGUGUGCGUAUACUCAGCGGGCCUGAGCCCACGCCAUCCUCUUAUUCACUCCGCGUCGCAUCUGGCAGGCACACACACAAAUCAGGCAAAACUUUCAACAACGGAUCUCUUGGUUCUG